ensembl:misc_RNA Metazoa_SRP Metazoan signal recognition particle RNA
GCUGGGCGUGGUGGCGCUCGCCUGUAAUCCCAGCUACUUGGGAGGCUGAGGCAGUAGAAUCGCUUGAACCCGGGAGGCGGAGGUUGCAGUGAGCCGAGAUUGCGCCACUGCUCUGCAGCCUGGGCGACAGAGCGAUACUCCGUCUCAA